AUUCCAUCCGCAUCGGGACCUCCCCACCCGUCAAACAAAAAAAAAAAUUCCUCCUCGAUCCUUCUUUCGCUGGGCGCAACAAUCAUGCCGACAGAUCCGUGGCUGCUCCACCUCAGGUUCCCCCCAUCCUUCUUUCUCUCGGGCGACAGAUCCGUUCAUGGCGGCGGAUCCGCAGCGUCCACGGCCGCUCCACCUCGGGCAGUGCGGAUCACGGCCGGCAACCCGAUGGAGGCGUAGCGGCUACCGGCGCAGUCUGACUCUCUGCCAUGCGCUCCCUCCAUGUCUCCUCCUGCGCCUCCGGUGGCCAGACGCCUCUUCCACUCCGGCCGAUAUGUUUGAAGAAGGGGCUAGAGACAAACUGUCCAAUCUGUUGUGACUUCCUAUUCACAUCAAGCAAGGAAGUUAGAGCUGUUCUUUCUGGUCACUCCAUGCAUUCAACUUGCUUGCAGGUAUUAGCAAGUAAAAUAAUAAUUUGUUUUUUCUGAUAAUAUAUAUCUGGCUACUGGCUGUAAAAAAUGGUUCUGACAAAUGUAAGUCCCAGGCAUACACUUUCAGUCACUACACUUGCACUAUCUACGGCAAAUCCUUCUGGGAUAUGGCGGUAAGCUGCAUUAGUUUUUACGGCAUUGCAAAUCUUUGCAUUUAUGGUACUGAAGUUAAUCUUCAUCUUGAGUCCCAUGAUUUGUUUUCCAUAUCUUAGUGAAAACUACUAUUUCUCCUAUUUUGCUCUUCAUCUCGAGGGCAUUUCACUAGCUGAUAAGUGAUGUUUCAUAAAGCAUGAAACUGACACAUUUUUCGGUUCUUUGAUACCGGAAGCCUGUACCUCCACCAAUCAAAUGUUUUAUUAAUGCAGUUGUAUUGUAUGAUAAUUCUCCACGGACAAUACAAUUCUGAUUCCUGACGCCUGAGUGAGAUUUUACUUGUGGUCUUGUUAUUUAAACUCAUUCCUAAGAUGCAACAUGAAGACUGUUUUGGUAUUUGGGGCAUGCACGAUUGGACAUUUUGCUCGAGUCAUAUAAUCAUAUUGAGUGACUGAAUGUAAUGCACAUAAACUUCAGUGGUAUAUUGAAAAUGGUUUAUCCUUUUCUUCUCGAAACAGAUAAAUGUUGGAUCAGCUGACCCUGUCAUUAUCUCAUUCCACCCCAACACCACGGUAUAGCUUUUCUUCUUUGAUCAUCGCUGAUAUUCCAAACUGCAGGGGCACCCUCAUCAUUGGCGGAUUUUAUAUUUCUCAGGUCAGACGGUGUGCAGCCACACCUGGUCACCAUCGAGUUUCAGGUAACCACGACAAGUCAACGAUCUUCCAUUGCCUUCCGCUCAAUUUUGUUUGGAUGGUGCGUGAUUCCUUUCAUCGAGUCUUCAAUAAACCAAAGAGUUACCAGAGUAGUUAAUUAGGAGCCUAAUCAUGUGCAAACUAUUGUGCAUCAAGUCUUCAAUAAAAACAGAGCAGUUUCUACAUGCAAGACGUAUCAAAAUAGUAUGCUAAUACUUGAAUACCAUGUGACUAGAUCGAUUUCCAAGCAGACUCGAUCGAAUCUAAUUGUAUAUGGUGUGUUUGUUGCGUCAAGUAGUGACGGAGAGCAAGCGAGGCGAGAGAGCGAGUCACAGCGCGCUUUUACCUGUUAUUAUAUAACGCACAUUGAUUAGUUCGGUUGUAUCUGGGCAUGCUUUUAGACUUAAAGUCGAUCUUGAUUUCCUCCUGCCACCUGUAUGAGGGCAUCCAUUCGAAACACAUAUCUAAUCUUCUAUGUGUGGGAUCCUUUUUCUGUUCUGAAUUUGUUGUUGGGGCGAGCUUGUUACUCUCUACAUGGAUUUCAAGCUGGAUGAGAGCUACACGCCGAGCAAGAUCUCCAUCUGGACCGGUGACAGCUUCCAGAAUCUCAAGGCCCAGAAAUUAGGAUUCAAGAUUUGCCUCAUUGAAAACCGGUCAGGAGUUCAUGUUCACAAUCAAGCAGUGACCCCUUCUACUACUUGAGGGAUUCAGCAAAGACCAUCAACGGUACAGUCAAAGUUGAACAUGAAAACAAGGCGCUCUGCCAGUGUGCGUGCAUGAUCCAAUAGCAUGUGUUUAAUAGUAGCCACUAUGAUGUGAAAUACUAGCAGCUUCCUCCAUUUAUGCCAGUAUUUGAUAUACUUACCAAAGUUUAAGGGCGCCAAUCUUAAGAAGACAUCCCGGUUUGUGAGAAAAUUUCUUACGCGUAUUAGACAAAAGAUGUAUCUAAUUUUCCUUAGGUUGCAUUGCAACACAUCAGUUUCUGCUAUUGGUUCUUUUACCAUAAAAUUUGUAAGGUCCCUUAUGUUUGAUUUAUUGUAUAAAUCAUUUGAGACAUGCCCUGCAUGCAUGAUUACUCACUAUAUUUAUGUUCAUCUGAUAUUAUGUUCA